rnacentral:tRNA from 1 species
CCUAAUUUGUUUACUCAGGACAAAGAAUCUGCCUGCAAAGCAGGAGACCUGGGUUCAAUCCCUGAGUCGGGA